UACGUAGGGACCAAGCGUUGUUCGGAUUUACUGGGCGUAAAGGGCGCGUAGGCGGCAAUUCAAGUCAGCUGUGAAAUCUCCGGGCUUAACUCGGAACGGUCAGCUGAUACUGCUUUGCUAGAGUGCAGAAGGGGCAAUCGGAAUUCCCGGUGUAGCGGUGAAAUGCGCAGAUAUCGGGAGGAACACCAAUUGCGAAGGCAGCUUGCUGGGACGGUACUGACGCUGAGGCGCGAAAGCGUGGGGAGCAAACAGG
rnacentral:rRNA from 1 species